rnacentral:misc_RNA from 1 species
CAGAGUAUAACAACUCACAACCCUUUGUAAACCAUUUACCUCAGUUGCUUCGGCGGCCCCUCACGGGAGCCCGCCGGCAGUAUACCGAAUCUCUGUUUUCGAACCCGACGUAACGUCUGAGUGUUCUAAGCGAACUGUUA